UCUCUCCACAUCAUUAAUCACCUACCGAUUUCAUUCCUAAAUAACAAUAAAUCCUAGGUUGAUGAUUGUUUCACUCAACUGCGGCACUUUUUGUUGGCUGCGCUGAAUGAGCACGAUGGGAUAUCCAUCACUAGUUUGACUUCCAUCGCGGUGAAGCUCUGCGUUGUUUUUUUUCCGUCGCGUGAAAUUCGUCGUCCGACAUUGCUGCCUGCGAAUGAUCCUUUGUACACAGAGUGGAGGCUUCUUGCAACUAAAUAUGACAUUGUGGUUGAAAAACUGUUUUUGGAGCACAGCAAGUGUGUGAGCUAUGGACGGAUGCUGAGAAAAGCUAUACCUGAACACCUUGAAUUCAAGUGGAAAACAAAAGGCAUUACCAACGAUUGUGGAGUGUUCACUAUGCGACAUAUGGAGACGUAUAUGGGACUAAAGUUAAUGAUUGGAAGUGCGACCUUACUAACAAGCCAUCCAAGUCAUUCCAGU